GGGACAACCGGGGAAACUCGGGCUAAUACCGGAUGUGGCGGCAGGGACUUCGGUCUUUGUCGUGAAAGGAGCAAUCCGCUAGAGGACGGGCCCGCGGCCCAUCAGCUUGUUGGCGAGGUAACGGCUCACCAAGGCUAAGACGGGUAGCUGGUCUGAGAGGAUGAUCAGCCACACUGGAACUGAGACACGGUCCAGACUCCUACGGGAGGCAGCAGUGGGGAAUAUUGCGCAAUGGGCGAAAGCCUGACGCAGCCACGCCGCGUGAGCGAUGAAGGUCUUCGGAUCGUAAAGCUCUGUGGGGGGAGAAGAAACCUGACGGUAUCCCCUUAGCAAGCACCGGCUAACUCCGUGCCAGCAGCCGCGGUAA
rnacentral:rRNA from 1 species